GAGUUUCCAAGGAGCAGCUGGUGGAUUCAAACUGCCAACCUUUUGUUUAGCAGCCGAGCUCUUAACCACUGAGCCAUCAGGGCUCCAGAGCUUUUAAACAUAAGAUAAAUUAAGGGGUAAAUGAAAAGAAGCCUAGAUUUGCAGGUCUAUAGAUAGAGAAUUGCUGUAUCUCCAGGCAUAAUUGGCCAGGUAGCCUUUGAUGAGGUCUUGGGCAAGAGUUUUCCAGUAGUGUGGAAAAGAACCUAGGAUUACAAAGCACUAGGAGUUAAUUAUCUAUAGGCAAGAAAGGGCUCUCUUUAAAGUGGGUAUAAUUAAUUGCCCUGUCGUUGCAGGUGUGGAAGCCAAGCAUCGUCCUGGCAGGAGAGGACUCACAUGGGAAGAAAGUGUCAUCUGGCCUCACAUAAAACAGCUGCUCAUUUAAGACGUUUGGAUUGUGAAUCUUUUUCUGAGGACACUGCAACUUGCUGCUUAAAACUAGGGAAGAGUCAUAAUUACAGCUUAACAGUUUGAACCCAAUCAUGAUGGAUCAGGCCAGCCAUCCACUGCUCUGGCACAUGGUUGGGAUUUAAAACCGAAGCAGCAGAUGUAACCCUGGAUGCUCCUCAGAAUCCUCUCUCUGUGUCUCCAAAGCUCCUGCUUCCAGCCCUUGGCUUCCUGCCUCCACCCCCAUCCCCGCUUCUUAGAUCUUUAU